CCCGGGUCUUGUACACACCGCCCGUCACACCACGAGAGUUUACAACACCCGAAGUCGGUGAGGUAACCGCAAGGAGCCAGCCGCCUAAGGUGGGGUAGAUGAUUGGGGUG
rnacentral:rRNA from 1 species